GCCAUCCUUGGGAUACCACCCUUGUAGUACUGGGACUCUAACCAUAGGCCAUGAAUCUGGUCUUGGGACACUGUCAGGUGGGCAGUUUGACUGGGGCGGUCGCCUCCCAAAAGGUAACGGAGGCGCUCAAAGGUUCUCUCAGUACGGUCGGAAAUCGUACGUAGAGUGUAAAGGCAAAAGAGAGCUUGAUUGCAAGACAUACAGGUCGAGCAAGGAUGAAAAUCGGACUUAGUGAUCCGGUGGUUCUGCGGGGAAGGGCCAUCGCUCAACGGAUAAAAGCUACCCUGGGGAUAACAGGCUUAUCUCCCCCAAGAGUCCACAUCGACGGGGAGGUUUGGCACCUCGAUGUCGGCUCAUCACAUCCUGGGGCUGUAGUAGGUCCCAAGGGUUGGG
rnacentral:rRNA from 1 species